ACGAGUGAAACACUGUAAUCGUGAUUCGUCCAAUGCCGUAUCUUUCUCAAGUUUCCUUGUAGUCGAAAAAUUUAUUUCAUUUCAGCUUUUAUUUGUUCUUACAUUUUUUACGUACUUUUUCCGCGUUCAACAUCUGAAUUCAAGUGGACGUAAGCAGAAGAAAUGGAUUUUAAAUGGCAGUCUGAAAAAUCAUAAAAAUGGAAAGGUACGAAAACAUUGAAGUGGUUGGAGAAGGCAGCUACGGUAUAGUAAUGAAAUGUCGGCACAAAGAGACUGGCCAGAUAGUGGCGAUAAAAAAAUUUCUCGAGUCCGUAGAAAAUAUUCAUGUAAGAAAACUGGCCUUUCGAGAAAUACGAAUGCUGAAGAGAUUGAGACACGAAAAUCUCGUGAGUUUGAUCGAAGUUUUCAAGCGGAAGAAGCGCUUUUACCUCGUCUUCGAAUACUUGGAUCAUACGAUAUUAGAAGAGCUGGAGGCUGUGGGUGGUGGUCUCGGCUUCGAGUUGUCUCGUCGGCACAUUUUUCAGGUUCUACGAGGCUUGAAUUUCUGCCACCACAAUAACAUAAUGCAUCGCGACAUCAAGCCGGAAAACGUUCUGGUCUCGUCGCACGGGGUAGUCAAGCUGUGCGACUUUGGCUUCGCACGGAUUUCGGGGCCGAACGAGUCGUGCACGGAUUACGUGGCGACCAGGUGGUACCGGGCGCCGGAACUCCUCGUCGGCGACGCUCGUUACGGCCGAGCCGUCGACACUUGGGCGGCUGGCUGCCUCUACGCCGAGAUGCUGACGGGCGAGCCACUGUUUCCCGGUGACAGCGACGUCGAUCAACUCUUCCGGAUCACCAGGCUCAUGGGUGGUCUCUGCCACAGGCAUCAAAGCCUGCUGAACCGCAACAGCAGCCACGGUCGGAGCUUGCGCAAGGCCAGCGUGGAGAGUCUGUCGUAUCGACACGCCACCCUGACGAACUUGAACGGGCCGUCGGCUGCCUCGGCUCGGGGCCCCAGCGGAGGCCUCCGAUCGCUGCGCAAUCAUCUGCCCUGCUGCAGCUCCAGCGGCCUGGACUUUCUGUCGCAGUGCCUGCGAAUGGACCCGGACACGAGGCCCAACUGCGCCCAACUGCUGCAGCAUCCGCUCUUCAUGCAGGACAACUUCGCCGAGCGCUUCCUCGUCGAGCUGCGGGACUACGUGGCCAAGGAGGCGGCGGGAAAUCCUCUGCUGCAGUUGAGACGCGUCGAGGAGAGGAGGUUCAGCGUCAUGUCGCUCGAGGAGCCGCCCAGAGUCUACGCCACCGGAGCCUUGCCGAGGUGGAGCAUGAAACUCGUGAGGGAGCCUUCGGACAAGAUAAGCGCGGACGUCAACGUCAACGCGGACUCCUUGAACCAGACGCGCAAUUGCAACGGACGAGCUAAUAAUCGUCAAACGCCCGAGCAUCCACAGCAAUUACCGAUCCAAAGGAAGCCUCUGUCCCGACCGAGAGAACUGAGCUUCAUCGGCCCGACCAACGUCCAGCCCAACGCGACUUACAUUCGCCGACUGGAGCACAAGGGCCUGCUACCGAUGCUCGACUCGAACAAUGGCAAGAGCUGCACGCUGCCGAUCCUCGCCUCCAAGGAGUCGCUCCUGUCGAGCAGAGUAGCCCCCAAGAGGACAAAGCUCGAUGUCUCGUCGAGCAAUGCGAUCGCGUGACGUUUGGCCGCUGUCGGCCCGGCGCCCUCGCUAGCCCAGACCAAUCAUAGAUAAUACUCUUAUUAUUUGCAGACCCACGUCUUGUUCCUCGUCCCAACUCCUACUGUAAUAAUAUUGUAUAACUAAGUAUUGUAAAACUUUAACAGUAUUAC
rnacentral:misc_RNA from 1 species